rnacentral:rRNA from 1 species
GAUGAACGCUGGCGGCGUGCCUAAUACAUGCAAGUCGAGCGAACAGACGAGGAGCUUGCUCCUCUGACGUUAGCGGCGGACGGGUGAGUAACACGUGGAUAACCUACCUAUAAGACUGGGAUAACUUCGGGAAACCGGAGCUAAUACCGGAUAAUAUAUUGAACCGCAUGGUUCAAUAGUGAAAGACGGUUUUGCUGUCACUUAUAGAUGGAUCCGCGCCGCAUUAGCUAGUUGGUAAGGUAACGGCUUACCAAGGCAACGAUGCGUAGCCGACCUGAGAGGGUGAUCGGCCACACUGGAACGGAGACACGGUCCAGACUCCUACGGGAGGCAGCAGUAGGGAAUCUUCCGCAAUGGGCGAAAGCCUGACGGAGCAACACCGCGUGAGUGAUGAAGGUCUUCGGAUCGUAAAACUCUGUUAUUAGGGAAGAACAAAUGUGUAAGUAACUAUGCACGUCUUGACGGUACCUAAUCAGAAAGCUACGGCUAACUACGUG